rnacentral:rRNA from 1 species
CCUACGGGUGGCUGCAGUGGGGAAUAUUGCACAAUGGGGAAACCCUGAUGCAGCGACGCCGCGUGAAGGAAGAAGGUUUUCGGAUCGUAAACUUCUAUCAGCAGGGAAGAAAAUGACGGUACCUGACUAAGAAGCCCCGGCUAACUACGUGCCAGCAGCCGCGGUAAUACGUAGGGGGCAAGCGUUAUCCGGAAUCACUGGGUGUAAAGGGUGCGUAGGCGGUGAGGUAAGUCAGAUGUGAAAGCCCGAGGCUCAACUUCGGGAUUGCAUUUGAAACUGCCCCACUAGAGUGCAGGAGAGGAAAGUGGAAUUCCUAGUGUAGCGGUGAAAUGCGUAGAUAUUAGGAGGAACACCAGUGGCGAAGGCGGCUUUCUGGACUGUAACUGACGCUGAGGCACGAAAGCGUGGGGAGCGAACAGGAUUAGAUACCCUAGUAGUC